UACAGAGGUCUCAAGCGUUGUUCGGAUUCAUUGGGCGUAAAGGGUGUGUAGGUGGCGCGCUAAGUCGGGUGUGAAAUUUCGGAGCUUAACUCCGAAACUGCAUUCGAUACUGGCGUGCUUGAGGACUGGAGAGGAGACUGGAAUUCAUGGUGUAGCAGUGAAAUGCGUAGAGAUCAUGAGGAAGACCAGUGGCGAAGGCGGGGCUCUGGACAGUUCCUGACACUGAGACACGAAGGCCAGGGGAGCAAACGGG
rnacentral:rRNA from 1 species